CCCUACACACUCCCAAGUUGUGGUGAAAUCAAGGCCCAACUUCACCCAAAUCAAGCCUACCGGCUCAAGGGUCUAACAAACCACCCCCACCAGAAGAAGCCAACGUCCUCGUUGGUAGGGCUCGCAAAUAAUCCCCGAUUUGCCCUUCAAACUGCCACAAGGUCGUACCUCUCUCCCAAGUAGCCUCUGUGACUGGCUUGUCAUUCCAUUGAAUAAGGAACUC
rnacentral:lncRNA from 1 species